GCUCCGCCGCCACCCGCCCGCCUCAGCCGCCGCCGGGCCCGGGCUGUCCCCGCUGCGGGAGCCGAGCCCGCCCCGCCGGGCCCCGGGAACCCGCCCCAGCCGGGGCAGGAGCAGAGGCGGCCGUGCGGGGGCACACGCCCUGUUGCAUCCUUCGGGCGUGCCCUGGCGACACUUGCGUUGUCUCCACGAAGGAAACUUGGGUCUCGCGGUCUGUCAGGCCACGUUCCCACCGUCGUUUCGGCCGCCUCCUCCUUCAGCACGGUCACUUCUGGGAGAUCUUUCCCAGGAAAGCCACGAGAGCCCAUUCCGAAGAUGGAGUCCCGGCAGUGCAGGGGGUGACGGGGCGGCUCUGUGCUUCCAUCUGCGCUUCCAUCCCGGGCACCGCCAACAGCUGCGCUCUGCAAAAGCGCUCGGGCUCGAUAAUAAGAUGAUGCUUGAAUAUAAUAUACCCCUCAAAGUGGCCCGGCCAAAAAUCAGGGGCUGCAGGGACGUGGAGCGCGCAAGGAAGCGAGCGGGGAGAGUUGGGAUGGGGCAGCAGCGGGCUCGGAAGAGGGUGCCGGGGUCAGGGAGAGGAAAGCAGCUCUGAGCGGAGCUCCUCCGAGCUAUUUCACACCCGUGCCAAGAAGUUCUCGCAUGGAUAUCCUGUGACAGGGGCUGGGACUCUGUGCUCCGGCCACACACCAAGAACAGACGGCAUUGCAAUUUUACAUCAUAUGUUACAACAGUGCGAUAGAUUAUAUGCCACAGCUAGUGAUUACUAUGUAUGAUACUAUGCUUCUUAACUAGAGUGAAAUUUUUGUUUUAAAAUACCUUCAUGGAUGAAAAGCCUCGGCUGUGGUGUGACUUGAAAGUUUCUACUUCUCUCACCUCUCUUUCCACGUUUCAGAGGAAAACCCGAGAGAUGGAAGAGAGAACUGUCCAAUUGGAAAGACAAGGCAUUUCACAGGAGAGAGGAAAGAAGAAAAAAAUCCAAAGGUAGUCUCAAGAGCCAGGAGGGUUCCACUGACAAGUCCUUUGUCUACCUAGAAGAUACUAGAAGAAAAUUAAUCUAACUAGUAGUCAUUAACAGCUCCAUCUUUAGUUUGAAGGUGGUUCUUGAUUGGGUAAGGAAGUGAAUGUGAAGAAAGAUCAUUGCAUACAGAAGACAUGGUCUGAGGUUGGAACUGAGAUGACCUCUACACCCAGAGAUGCUGUUGCAGACACAGUGAAGAUCUCUUGCAGAUCCAUGUGCAGCAUCUGCAAGUAUUUGACGCCGGCAGAGCAAUUCCAUCCCUCUCCCCCAGGACAGCAGGCACAGCAGACCCUGUCGCCACACUGAUCAUUUCCCUCCUGUUGUGUUGCUUUGAAAUCACAGCUUCCCUCUUCAACUCUGCUUCCAAACCACAGAGACGGUUACAAUCUGUGGGAGGGCAGGAAAGAUGGGGAAAUACCCUGGGGCUUUUCACAUGUACUUUGCUCUGAACUAAAUGCUGGCAUGAAGAGGAACAGUUCAUCAUCCACUCAGGUGUGCUACGCAUCCACCACCAGCCACAGGUGACCUGGUCUAGACUCGUCUUAAUAAACUACUUCACACCAGCUGGUUUUAUGUUAACAAAAGGAAAUACAGGCUACCUAUGUGAAUCUACUUUCUUAGGAGUUCUGGAUGAACUGUGAAUCCCACAGCUGUUUCCAGGGCUGGCAAGCACAGCCUUUUCACAUUCCCAAAGAAAGGAGAGCUUCCUGUGCUCUGAAAAUAACCUCAUCAAAAUUGUGCACAUCAAAGCGUAUCAUAAAGAUAUUGGGUCCUUUUGUUAAAAAAAAAAAAAAAAGAAAGAAAAAAGGAAAAAUAGAACACCUCUCCUUAAAGUUCUCCUUUUGCUGAAGUUUCUCCCUCCUGUGUGCUUCCCUGGGACCUGUCAUUAUUUCCCACCAUCAAUCAAUCAUACUCCCCAGUGAAUCAGCUCAUCCACUCAUCUUCACCUCCCUGAAAUUUCCCAAUGAGGUUAGAAACAGCAAAUUGCUCUGAUGUUAAGUAAUAAACCCCAACCUUUUUAUGACUUGGCUGUUGCUUAUUUUUCUCUAGUGGAUACCAAUAAAAUAAAAAGAGCUCCCUUGAGCAGCACAUCUGAGAAGCUGGAAUGCUUUUAAGUGCGACAGGUUAGAAGAUUGUCUUUAGACACAAUCUCUGGUACUCUCUAAAAUUAACUCCUUGGGGAAAUCCUAAAUAAUUCUUCAUAAUUAGAAACCUUGUAAUUGGAUGCAGCAGAGUUACAACUACUUUAUCAUCUCUGUUGUUGAAGCAGCCUUCUGUUACAGUGAAGGCUAAGUAAGCCUGACUGCUUCUGUGUCUCCUAUUCUGCACAUGCAAAAUCUCUGAUGUCAAGGAGGAUAAUUUCUUCUAUAUCUACUGUAAUGCCCUAUUGAAUCAGAUCAAGUUUUCAGCUAUGUAGCUACUUGAUGUAUAGAAUUUUAUUAAUCUCCCUCCUCCAGUUUGUUACCUGUUUAGAGAAAUAAUUCCUAAUGAUGGGACAGUACCCUGAAGGAAGAGGCAGGGAGGGGAGACAGGUAACAUGGCCCGUAACUUUCUCCUGGUCCAUCCUUCUUUAGCCUCUUCCAGCAUGCACAUGGAUUCAGACACAGUGUGUGAAGCCCCACAACACAGUCCCCAGAUGUAGACAAGAGUUGUAACCAGCCCUGUUUGUGUUUGCUGUCCACUAGUGACAUUCUGUGAUCAUGGUAUAGGUACUGAACCAGAAAAUAUAUUGUGAGAAAUGUGUAGCAGGAAGUAAGAAAUGUAUUCAAAGUAAAAAUAUAUUUUGAAUAAAUAUUUUCUGUAUGUUAUCUGAAAAUACACAUUGUAAAUAGCCUUCUGAGAACAUGAAGAACAUAUAUAGGAGUAGUCAUAAUGGACUUGCCAAAGGAAAAUCCUGCCUGAGCUACUCGAUUACCUUGAAUAGACUCAAUUUAUAAUUUCUGAGAUAAAGGAAUAACAACAGAGAUGGGAAAGAGCUGCUUAAACCUAAAUAAGUAAAAUGGUAUUAAAAAAUCAAGACAAUAAAAAAUAAAUGCUUUGUGGAUUCCAAAUGUCAGUGCAAUGAAUUGUUCCUCAAUUUGGUGUGUCUCUAAAGGGUAAGUUUGCAAAAAGCUUCCUCAUAUCUCUUGGGAAGUGUCCUGGGUUAAGGUCAGUCCCUACUGGGAUUGACUUUAUCACUACAAACUAAGUUUAUCAUCGGUUGGCUUAAUUCUGAGGCAAUCUUCAAAGAUAUUGCCUAAGAAAUGUAAUCUGCCUUCUGCCCAGCAAAUGGAGGAGUGGAGGAGUAGUGACCAAUGAAGUAACUUGAGGCAUCUGAAGGGCUGAAAGUUUAAAGUGCAUGACAACUUUUAAAGAAAGGGGCAACUAGGAAACAAUAGGGUGAAAUCGUAAAGACUAAAGGUGUUGGACACCAAAGAUACACAACCUUUGUUCUCAACAGAAACUCAACACCUCACAUGCAGUUUUCUUGCCAGUUUUCUGAUUUCUUUAAAGAACUGCUUCAUUAGACUCUUCAUUAGAUAUUUCAGAAAGAAAGAAAGAAAGAAAAAUAACAAUAGCUACUGCAAAACAAAUCAACCACAAAAACAUGAAAACCCCAAAUAACUUUUUAAUGCUAUGUGAUCCUUUUUAACACAUGUCAACCUCUGUUAGCAUAAUAACCAUGCGUAAGUGAGAAAAGUAGUUUGUAUUUGUAACACAAUUUUCCCUGGAAUUAGCCAAUUAAAUUACAUUGUUCAUAGUUUAAGCCCAUGUGGAAAUUAGGCACCAUGCAGCUGCUCACUCAAAGCCCCUUCUCUCCCCACAGCCCAGUGGAAUGGGGAGGAGACUCAAAGUAAAACUUGCAGGUUUCAAUAAGAACAGUUCAAUAAUCAAAACCAAAGUAAAACACAGUAAUAAUGGUAAAUUGUGGUAAUAAUGACAAUAAAAAGGGAAGAACAAAUGAUGUGCAAUAUAAUUGCUCACCAUACACUGACUGAUGCCAGAUCCCCUUUCCUGAACCCUGACUGGCCCCCCCUUCUGUGUAACUCUCCCAGUUCAUACACUGGGCAUGAUGCUCUGUGGUGUGGAAUAUCCCUUUGGCCAGUUCAAGUCACCUGGCUAUGCUCCUUCCUAUUUUCUUUUGCAUACCUCCUCUCUGGCAGAGCAUAAGACAAAAAAAAAAAAAAACAACCAAAAACCAAAAAAUCCCAAGCCAACCAACCAAAAAAUACCUUCACAAACCAAGCCUAAAUGCCUCGCCUGCAAAAAAACCCACCAAACAAACAAACAAACAAAAAAACCCCCCAAAAAACCCCAAAACAAACAAAACAAAAAACCUACAAAAAACCACCAAAUCCCAAACCAAAAACCCAUUAACUAAAUCAAAGUCCUUGACUUAGAUAAACACAAUUUAGCAAGAACCAAAACAUCAGUGUGUUAUCAACACCAUUCUCAUUCCAAAUCCAAAACACAGCACUGUAACAGCUUCUGAAAAGAAAUGAAUUCUAUCCCAGCUAAAACCAGGAGAAUUACCUAUAUUGAAGCAAGUCUUCACGUUUGGGAUCUCUGCACGUUGGAUGUCAGUGCUCCUCAGGGCAGUACAGGUCCUUAGUGACAGCAGGUGCAGUUUGUCCAUGGAUUCAGACUAGAGAUAAUUUAUGUCUCUGUCAUUACUGGUGUGCAUGUCUAUCCUUCAAGGUGAUCUAGAAGGAAAUUCCUAACAUCUGAAUUUAUGGGAACAAAAAUGUUUCUUCAGGAAUCCAGCAGUUCUCUUUUGGCACCUUAGGUCAAGGUAUGUGAUACAGAAAAAGUCUGUAGCUUCACAGGUGAAGGAAAAGGCACCAUAUCCUUUUUCUUAUGAUUGCAAUAAGUCAUUGUGGAAUGGAAAGGCUCAUACAGAGGUGCCAUGGUCAUGCCAGAGUCUUACUCCAGCCAUAUUAAUUCCUACAGAGCAUAUAGUGUGUCAGAGACUAUCAUCAAAGUACAUGUAUUGGGUACACUUGGUGGCUCUUUGUACGGAAGGAUAACAUUAGCAUCACACACUGUGACUGUUUGCUCAAGUUAUUAAGUAUCACACAGUGAUAAAAAAAGUGUCUUUUUUUUCUUGUCAAAUAAUUAUUUUAUGGAAAUUUUUGUGCACUGUGUAGGGGGUGAGGUGGAAUUUACACUUUAAAAUGCAUUCAUAUCAUAGCAAAACUUUUCAAUACUUUUCUAUGUCUUGCUAGAUGUGAGACUAAUCUGGAAGAUCUUGAUGCCUAAAGAAGAAAAUUAGGAAUAUGAAUAUUAAGGCAAAUUUUUGCUGGAGUGAUGUGGAAUUUCAUUCAAAAUUCAUUAAAAAUUGAGCAUAAUAGCUCUUCAAAUAUUUCCUUUGCUCUUAAAUGAUUCCUGUAUUAUUCAACAAAUAUCAAUAACACACAUAAAGAAGAAUGAAACUAAAUUAUUUUUGAAAAAAAAUGUUAUCCAGUUUCCAGUAAGCAAUAUUAUGGUGGUGGUGCUGCUGUAAGGGCAGAAUGGCAUCUCAGCUGGAUUAGGACUGGCACCUGCUGCCCAUCUGACAGUAAAGUGAUAAAGCAGCAACAGCUGAUGAGGGGCAUGAAGAAGGUAAUUUGAGGAGAUCUGCAUGCCUGAAGCAACUGGUGUAACUGCUUGAUAAUACACACCUGCUACUCCAUGGCCAUAGGCAGAAUGCCAGGAAGAAGGCAGAGGAAGAAGGGAAACGGGGGUGAACCUCCCACUGUUAUUGACUGGGAACAGAAUAAAGGAUGAUAAGUGUUACCACUGGGACCAUACAGAAUGACAAAGCUAACAGUUUUCUAAACAUGGAGCAGUAUAAGGCAUUUAUAUAUUCAAAAAUGUUUCACGGGGGAACACAAACAACACUGAAAGAGUGAUUUCAGAAUACGCUAAUAAAAUUGUGAAAAGCAGGAAGAAAAUUUUGGGAUCUC